rnacentral:lncRNA from 1 species
AAUGCAUGCUGCACGGGCGAGCAGAGCGGUAAGUAUUCCAGCUAAUAAAGGAAGAGAAAUAACAGGAUGAAAACUUCAGCAUUUCAUCACCCUGAAGCAAUUAAGGAUGAAAACAAUGAUCAGCCAUGAGGGUGGCUGACGUUACAGAAAGAGCCAGCCAGACCCAGGUGCUUCCUGAGAGAGACACCAACAUUAACGGUAAUUAUAAUUGCCAGCUGGGUACUUCAUGCCUUCAGGUAGGUAGAUACGUUACUUGCAGAAGUAAAAGAAAAUCGAGGUAAAUACUUCACUGAUGGUUUUCAGAUGGGCCUUGGCCUGUCAACUCUCCAAGAAAAGGAGGUACCAGAAAUUCAAAGCAAAUGAAAACCUUAGGAUUUGGCCCCACUGACUGUAUGCAGGAUGCCUCAAGGUAAAUGCCAGGAGGAAAGGAACAAAGGGAAAUAAGGGGAGUGAAUUAGUCAGGGUUCUCCAGAGAAACUGAGCCAGUAGGAGAUAUAGAUACAUGCAUAGGAGAUUUAUUAUGAAUUGGCUCAUGCAAUUAUGGAAACCAAGAAGUUCUAUGAUAUGCUGUGUGCAGGCUGGAGACCCAGAAGAACCAGUGGUCUAAUUCAGCCUGAAUUCAAAGGCCUGAUAACCAGGGAAAGGUCUAAAGGCCCAGGAACGAGGAGCUCUGAUGUCCACAGGCUGGAGAAAAUGGAUGUCCCAGCUCAAGCAGGGAGUGUAAAUUUGAUCUUCCUCCACUUUUUUUUUUUCUAUUCAGGCCCUCAAAUGAUUACAUGAUACCUACAAACAUGGGUGAGAGAGAUCUUCUUUACUCAAUCUACUGAUUCCAAACUAAUCUCUCCUGGAAAUACCUUCACAGACACAUCCAGGGAUCACGUUUUACCAGCUAUCCGGCACUGCAAGACCAGCCAAGCUGACAUCUGAAAUUAACCAUCACAGGGAGCAUCUGCCGCCCCACAUCCUCAGGUAUGGGGAGACGUGCUUGAUGGUCACUGACACCAUGAAUACUUGACGCUGAUGAUGUGGCAUGGCUCCUCACAUGUGUCUUCACCCCAUCCUCUUCCAAAAGGAAACUGCUGCUCUCCUGCCCAGUUUUAGAGUCUCCCAGCAGGCCCUCAGGGGAGGGCUGGAGCACAUCAAGUUAUGACGGGGAGCUUCCUCCAAGACCAGGCUGCCACAUCCUGUGCACAAAGCCUCGUGAACCGCAGUGACAGGCUCAUUUAGAAACAAAUUAGGGGUUAAGUAAAAAGUGCAGGACAGAGGCAAAACCGAGUUUCCCUUUCCCCUUCCUGUCGGUUAGCAUUAGAAGGUGCCCAUGAGCAGCGUGUGUCAAGAAUAUGAACGUGAGAUGUCAUUUUGGCUGCCUCUAAUUGAAGCCAGGAUAAAUGGAGUGGAAAGGCAGCGUCUAAUCCAAUCAAAACAUGAAAAAGGUAUUUUGACAUGUAAAUUACAAACUUCCUGUGUAUUUUGUCUCCCCAAUUACACCCUCCCCUGUCAUGUUUUUUUAAAUUAUAUCUUAAUCUCCCAGUCUCCUAAUAAUUAUGUCAUCAUUCUUGCGCCCUGAACACUGUGUAAUGGUAUUUUAUGGGAUAUGCCAUUCAUUAUUAACUAAACUCACUCUCUGUCCCCAGUGAUACCAUAUCUCAUGGUGUUCAAAUAUGCCUAGUGUCAGCUCCUGCUUUGUAAAUGCUACGGCAGCUCCACUCUCUGCUUCAUGGUUGUAUGGGAAUGAGUUUGGGAAGCACUUGUGGACAGUUAAUCCGACUCAUCGGUAUUUUUAUAUGGGGAUAACUGACACUUUUUGGUUAGUGAAAAGAGAGAUUGGUUUCAAAUAUAAAUCUCUCAUCACUGGGGCUCAUGAAAAUAGGGAUUUUAACCGCUGCUCUUAAAGAACUAGCCAAUAUGAAGAUCACACAAUUAAGAUCACAAAAAGAAGUAAAGAAAAAUGUCAGUUUGAUAUGCAGAGAGUGGCUGUACUGUAGUGGUUGGAGGAAUUACUAAAAGCAACCACACAUCACUUAACAACGGGGAUACAUUCUGGAAAAUGUGGCCUUCAGUGAUUUCACUGUUGUGCAAAUAUUAUAGAGUGCACUUACACAAAGCUAGGUGGUAGAGCCUACUACACACCUGGGAUGUAUGGUAUGACCUAUUGCUCCUAGGCUACAAACCUGUAGAGCAUGUUACUGCACUAAAUACUAUGGGCAAUUGUAACUCGUGGUAUUUGUGUAUCUAAGCAUAGCAUACAGUAUUAAAUCUUGUGGGACCACCAUUGU